GUUGCCAUGGGUAUAGUGCUCUUGUGUGAAGUGCAACAGGAAAAGAUCUAUAAAAUUAAAGAUAAAAUAACACAAUUUUUUGUUACUUGUUAUGUCACUUGAAUAGGAAACCACUGUAUCAGGCAUGCUUUAGGAGCAAUAUUUCUACAAGGAGUUCAAUAUUGUUCUCACUAGUUGCUUUUAAGGGCUGGUAAUAGAUUUUGGAUGUAUGAUGAGGAGUUGUACGCCUUAGUUCAAGUUGUAAGCAAAUAUUCCUUGUUAGGUAGGCUAAGACUGCUGCACAAUUUCAUUAUCACCUGUCUGUUUAGUUUUUGCAGACUUUAAGCCAUUGCAGUGACCAGGGAACUUUAAAUAGGUGACUAUCUGCGACCUUUCAUAAAUUUAUGAAGUAUGAUGGUAAAGAAGUUUGUUGAUGCACAAUCUUCUUUUCAGAAUUCUAACCAAUAUUGAUACUGAUGGAACUAUAAUCCUGGGUUUAGAUCAUCCCAUUCAUAGGAUGGGAUUCGUUUCAAAGACGACAAUUUGUACACUAGAGGAUAGCAGAUUGCAGGUAUUCAAUUUCUAGGCUAUUGGAGAACAAUCUUGUAGUGAAUCUAGCAACCAUGUAGAAGAUAGUGCUUUUAAGUUCAUUUUGUGAAUAUAGCUUUUCCAUCAAAGUUUUGGGGCUUAGGCAGUAUAACUAUUCCAUUAAAGGUUUGAAGAUUAGGGGGACACCUCAUCAUUUGCAAUGACCAUCAACAGAUGAUCGGUUUCAAGGUAGAGAUAUUUUGAGAGUAUCCUUUUAUACGUGUGGUCAAAGGUUGAUGGCCCAAAGUCUGUUCAGGAAAAAAGAAGGAAAACGAAAAAGGGGGAGGGAGUGUUUAAUGGGCCAAGCACGAAUUUAGGCCCAAACUUUCUGAUGAUUUUAGAUUGUUAACAGGCAAAUCGUGUUGUAGGUUGAUCUAAGUUUAUACAGGUGUGUUGGGCUAUGAAAUUUCGAAGUCACAGAUUCUUAGAACUUCCAUUUAUUGGGAUCACCCAUCAUUCGAUGAAUCCUAAAUCUAUGAACUUCGCUUUCCAGGGAAGAUUCACCCAUCUUUCCAUUAAAUCUCUACUGAACUUAAUCUGUCAAAAUACCUGUAUCUCUGUCCUUUUCCCGAUAUUUUUAGAGUAGUUUGUAUCUCAUGUCCUUUUCCCGAUAUUUUUGGAGAGU
rnacentral:lncRNA from 1 species